CCCGACUGCUAUUUGGGUGAGGAUAAACCAUGCGAGUUGUAUGGGUUACCUAAAUUUCCCAUAGCAAACUGCUUAGUAACACAUGAUCAACUUGCCCUAUGGAGAAAUAUAACCUCGGGAAACUGAGGAUAAUACUUCAUAGUUGAAUAGGCUUGGAAAAGUUUUUCAAUGAAAGGGAUAAGAAAAAUGGUUCUUAUCUGCCAUAGGAUAGGAUCGUGCUCGAUUAUGGUUGUUGGUGAGGUAACGGCUCACCAAGCCGAUAAUCGAUAGGGGCCGUGAGAGCGGGAGCCCCAAGAUGGGUACUGAGACAGCGACCCAGGCCUUACGAGGCGCAGCAGGUACGAAACCUCCGCAAUACACGAAAGUGUGACGGGGUUACCCAAAGUGUUCUUAUAGAACUGUGGCAGGUGAGUAAUGUCCCCUGCUAGAAAGGAGAGGGCAAGGCUGGUGCCAGCCGCCGCGGUAAAACCAGCUCUUCAAGUGGUCGGGAUAAUUAUUGGGCUUAAAGUGUCCGUAGCCGGUUUAGUAAGUUCCUGGUAAAAUCAGGUAGCUUAACUAUCUGUAUGCUAGGAAUACUGCUAUACUAGAGGGCGGGAGAGGUCUGAGGUACUACAGGGGUAGGGGUGAAAUCUUAUAAUCCUUGUAGGACCACCAGUGGCGAAGGCGUCAGACUGGAACGCGCCUGACGGUGAGGGACGAAAGCCAGGGGAGCGAACCGGAUUAGAUACCCGGGUAGUCCUGGCCGUAAACGAUGCAUACUAGGUGAUGAUACGGCCAUGAGCCGUGUCAGUGCCGUAGGGAAACCGUUAAGUGUGCCGCCUGGGAAGUACGGUCGCAAGGCUAAAACUUAAAGGAAUUGGCGGGGGAGCACCACAAGGGGUGAAGCCUGCGGUUC
rnacentral:rRNA from 1 species